UAUAGCUGCAAUCUGGUGAUCUGUAUAGUAGCACUUACCUUAUCGGUGAUCCUAGUGGUGUGGUUCAUAAGUCGUAUUGGAUGUUACGUUUACAAACGUCGGAGGCGGCAUGAUUGUGAUUCUGAAAUCGUAUGUAACGAAGGCGAAUCUAUUUAUGAGCAUAAGGAAUCUCAACAAGAAAUCCUAGAUCCUGAAACUAAAACGCUGAAAACAGAGGAUGCAAUUUCUGGAAACAAAGAAAGUUUUAAAAAGAGAAAAAGUCCCAAAACAAGUUUACGAAAUUGUUGCUUAGUAAGGCAACUUUCUGCAAACAUCAAUUGAAAAAUUUUAUGUUAGUUUCUUAGUCAAUACUAUUUAUAUUUUAUUUUUGAUAUAUCUAAAAUGAGAUCAGCAUAAUAAUCAUCAAAGCAGUUAAUAGUAAUAUGUGGAUCAUUGUACGUGUAUUAUAUUUCUAAAAGCACUUGAUCUAUGUUUUAAUCUACUGAAGCGCAUUUUUGGUUCACAUUGAAAGAAAAAUUUAACACUUUACAGUGUAAGCUAAUAAUAUUACUCAUAUAAGCAGACAUAUAAACAUGCAUUUGUUUUCAAUAACUUUAGAAACAUUGAAUACUUUCUAAGUAUAUGACUUUUGAGAUAUUUAUGUUAUCGUUUCAAACAUUUAAAACCUGUAGCUCUGAUUAAGACAAUGUCUCAACAUGCAUAAAAUACUAGUUAUUUCAAAUAAUUUCAUUUAUGUGACAUCUUUUCCAUAUUUUAUAAUUUUAUUAUAUAACAAUGUAUUGUACCUAGUUUUAUACAAAACAGCUAUACUUAUUAUUAUCUAACUAGUUUUACCCUCUUCCUUUACCAAGUUGGUUCAACGAAUCAGCAAAGCUCGUAUCUAUCAUAUGAUCAUUAUUGAUCAGUUCGCCAGAAAAGAAAGUGACGUUUAUUGAGCUGUAUAAAUUUUCAAAUUCACCAGCCAUCCCAUCUGCCACCAAUGCUUGUCAUUUGUUUUAUGUUGAGUCAUGGGAGGUAGCGGCUGUUGGUUUUUUGUUUUGUUAUUUGUUAUUUAUUAUUUUGUUAUAGCCACCUUGAAAUACAUGUACCGGGUAUAUUGUACCAGGGUUUGAAUUCCUAUUCUAGUCUGAUCGACCCAUCCCCUUUUCCCGAUGCAUAUCACAAUGCAAUAUCAUUAUGGUGCUGUAGGUCAGAGUGUGUAAUAUUUUUCCUAAGAUGUCUAUUACUCUAUUUUUACACCCCUUUUUUCUUAAUAUCAGAUUGUUAUCUGUGUUAUAUAAAUGUAGUU